rnacentral:lncRNA from 1 species
ACUACUGUUUACUGCAAGGGAGCCAGCGCAGCAUCCUCCCAGCUUUGCUUGGCCUCAGCAGUGAGUUGAAGCUCGGCUCGGCCGGCCUGGGAGAGCAGGGAUGGCAGGGCCUGUGGAUGGGACGCAUCACAGGAAAUGAAGACGUUGCCAGGACCUCCCAGCCGAGAAAAUAUGAACAAGAUGCCUCGUGCCGCUGAUGAACUCCCCACUCUUAGGGCCUCGAGGGAAGGCGGGAAGAUGGGCCGCUAGCCCGGGCACUCCCAUGCUUGUUCUCAGCUGCGCUUCACCCCCGGAAUGUGGGAAGUCCCUGGCUGCCGUGGCAUACACAGCCAUAACAUGCCCUGGCUCCCGUGGUCAGAAAUUGCCCAUUCAAGAGGCAGAGACGCAUGGGAGCGAUAUGGAAAGGGCUCUGGGUUCCAGCCCAGCUGCACAGCCAACCGUGAGACCUGGGGUGUCUGCCUAUCUUUCUGGGCCUUGGUUUUGUUGCCUAUGCAAUGAGAUUGUUGGGCUUCUGGACUGUCCGGGUGUCUUCCAUCUAAUUCUAAUUUCUGGGGAAGGAAAUGGAAAA